GACAGAGGGUGCAAACGUUGUUCGGAAUCACUGGGCGUAAAGCGCGUGUAGGCGGCUACGCAAGUCGGAUGUGAAAUCCCACGGCUCAACCAUGGAAGUGCAUUCGAAACUGCGUAGCUAGAGUUUUGGAGAGGAAGGCGGAAUACUCGGUGUAGAGGUGAAAUUCGUAGAUAUCGAGUGGAACACCGGUGGCGAAGGCGGCCUUCUGGACAAUGACUGACGCUGGAACGCGAAAGCGUGGGGAGCAAACAGG
rnacentral:rRNA from 1 species